rnacentral:tRNA from 1 species
GAGCCGCGUGGCGUAGUGGUUAAGUGCUUGUGUAACCUUGCACUGCCACUCACACGGUCAGGAGUUCGAGCCCCCUGUGGGUCA